UUAAUUACGGUAGUAGUUGAAUAAUAUUCUUAAGGCUGCAAUUUACUCACAUGCAACAUCUUUCAGACUUUGUUGCUAAUUCAGUUCUUAACCAAAUUGAAAACUGUUAACAUUUUUGAAGAGGACUGGUCACUAGCUACAUUUUGGCAUUAAAAAAAUUGAGAUUUGGCCCAGUAGAAAAAAGUUUACCUCAAAAUAUGUAGCAACAUUAUUGGAGAGUAACA